UUACGGCCGUACCAUGCUGAAUAUACCGGUUCGCGUUAGAUCACCGAAGUCAAGCAUCAUUGGGCGCGGUCAGUACUUGGGUGGGUCACCACCUGGGAACACUGCGUGCCGUU
rnacentral:rRNA from 1 species